rnacentral:rRNA from 1 species
UACGAAGGGGGCUAGCGUUGUUCGGAAUUACUGGGCGUAAAGCGCACGUAGGCGGACAUUUAAGUCAGGGGUGAAAUCCCGGGGCUCAACCCCGGAACUGCCUUUGAUACUGGGUGCCUAGAGUGUGGAAGAGGUGAGUGGAAUUCCGAGUGUAGAGGUGAAAUUCGUAGAUAUUCGGAGGAACACCAGUGGCGAAGGCGGCUCACUGGUCCACUACUGACGCUGAGGUGCGAAAGCGUGGGGAGCAAACAGG